ACAUCCCAGACGUUGUAGGAAAUCAAAAGGCAAUGCAGCCAGCAUAGAAUAUGUCUAGACAUCCCCUCCAGUUGUUUUAAAUCAUUGUUUUGUUCUCUAAACAUUCUGGGGUACUACAGGUCCAGUUUUGCAUACAGGACGGCGCCCCAGAAAAACUUCCCCACCGCUCUGUAAAUUUACCCCACAUGACGUGUUAGGGACACGACUUCGGAGGAGCAGAUGAAACAGAUGCUGUUCUACGGUUUUGGACUAACGGCCUAAUUCCAAACACCAGCCAUCAGCCCAGAACAGCUAAAAGAUCAUCGGUGAAUCCUUCCUUUCUCAUGGAACUUUUUUUGAAGGCUAUGAAAAAGACAAAAGACAGGACAUUGACUCCCGAGUGUUGAACUUAUGCCCACUUUACAGCCACCCUGGUUAUUAUAUUUACCCUGAGGGUCAUCUACGAACGUUGGAACAUCUUGAAAAACAAUAAGGGGCCCAUGUGCUCUUAAAUGUCCACUCAGAGCAUGGUACCUCUAUAAUUUUGUUCCUAGGUUUAUGACUUCUAGGGAGUGUUUCCAAGAGGCUGUGCUGAGGCAUAUGCAUUGAUAGGGCUUAGAUUUUAUAGACAGGGUAUCUGUAAAACACAUUGUGACAACUAUUGAAGAUGCAAAAAGGGGUUUUAAGAAAUACAUUUGUUUGAGAAUGGACAAACAACAUGAUAAGGACAACUCCGAGAUAGAACCAAUAUUCAGUCAAGAUAUUCUAAAACUGGAGGACAACGAUUUUCACGAUAUAUCUCUAUGUCAAUUGUAUUUAUUUUUUAUGAUAAAAUAUAUAUAUUUUGAUUUUUUUUGUAUAUAUUUUGAAUAAUUAUAGUUGAAUAUUAUUGUAAAAAAUCCCAAGGACAUUGGUGGAAACGUCCUUUAAUUCGAGGCCUCAUUUUCAGCAGUGCCGGGGGAUGCCUUAAUUAGGUCGGGUGGUAAUGUACAACAGAUCUCAUCCCAUCAAAUGAGGAAAUAGUCAUAACCCGAUCUCGCUGCACAUUUGUGGCCUGCUGGAGGUCAUUUUGCAGGGCUCUGGCAAUGCUACUCCUUGCACAAAGGCGGAGGUAGCGGUCCUGCUGCUGGGUUGUUGCCCUCCUACGGCCUCCUCCACGUCUCCUGAUGUACUGGCCUGUCUCCUGGUAGCGCCUCCAUGCUCUGGACACUACGCUGACAGACACAGCAAACCUUCUUGUCACAGCUCGCAUUGAUGUGCCAUCCUGGAUGAGCUGCACUACCUGAGCCACUUGUGUGGGUUGUAGACUCCGUCUCAUGCUACCACUAGAGUGAGAGCACCGCCAGCAUUCAAAAGUGACCAAAACAUCAGCCAGGAAGCAUAGGAACUGAGAAGUGGUCUGUGGUCACCACCUGCAGAAUCACUCCUUUAUUGGGGGUGUCUUGCUAAUUGCCUAUAAUUUCCACUUUUUGUCUAUUCCAUUUGCACAACAGCAUGUGCAAUUUAUUGUCAAUCAGUGUUGCUUCCUAAGUGGACAGUUUGAUUUCACAGAAGUGUGAUUGACUUGGAGUUACAUUGUGUUGUUUAAGUGUUCCCUUUAUUUUUUUGAGCAGUGUAUAAAUGACUCAAUGAUGAUACCUAUUGACUUCUUAAUGAACCGGCAUGUGGAAUUCCCUAAGUAUGUUAAUAAUGAUUGUUAGGAUUUGAUCUUUGUGAUUAUGAAUUUGCUUGGAUACCGGUUUUGAAUUUGAUUGUGAUACCUGUUAUUCUGUUUCCUAUGUUAUGCAGCACAUACUACUCCGUAAAUAUACAAUUUUUAUGGUUAAAGCAA